rnacentral:rRNA from 1 species
UACGGAGGGUGCAAGCGUUAUCCGGAUUCACUGGGUUUAAAGGGUGCGUAGGAGGGCAGGUAAGUCAGUGGUGAAAUCCUGGGGCUUAACCCCAGAACUGCCGUUGUAUACUAUCGGUCUUGAAUGUCGUGGAGGUGAGCGGAAUAUGUCAUGUAGCGGUGAAAUGCUUAGAUAUGACAUAGAACACCAAUUGCGAAGGCA